rnacentral:rRNA from 1 species
CUGGCGGCGUGCCUAAUACAUGCAAGUCGAACGCACUCUCGUUUAGAUUGAAGGAGCUUGCUCCUGAUUGAUAAACAUUUGAGUGAGUGGCGGACGGGUGAGUAACACGUGGGUAACCUGCCCUAAAGUGGGGGAUAACAUUUGGAAACAGAUGCUAAUACCGCAUAAAACCUAACACCGCAUGGUGUAGGGUUGAAAGAUGGUUUCGGCUAUCACUUUAGGAUGGACCCGUGGUGCAUUAGUUAGUUGGUGAGGUAAAGGCUCACCAAGACCGUGAUGCAUAGCCGACCUGAGAGGGUAAUCGGCCACACUGGGACUGAGACAUGGCCCAGACUCCUACGGGAGGCAGCAGUAGGGAAUCUUCCACAAUGGACGAAAGUCUGAUGGAGCAACGCCGCGUGAGUGAAGAAGGUUUUCGGAUCGUAAAACUCUGUUGUUGGAGAAGAAUGUAUCUGAUAGUAACUGAUCAGGUAGUGACGGUAUCCAACCAGAAAGCCACGGCUAACUACGUG